GAUGAACGCUGGCGGCGUGCCUAAUACAUGCAAGUCGAGCGAACAGACGAGGAGCUUGCUCCUCUGACGUUAGCGGAGGACGGGUGAGUAACACGUGGAUAACCUACCUAUAAGACUGGGAUAACUUCGGGAAACCGGAGCUAAUACCGGAUAAUAUAUUGAACCGCAUGGUUCAAUAGUGAAAGACGGUUUUGCUGUCACUUAUAGAUGGAUCCGCGCCGCAUUAGCUAGUUGGUAAGGUAACGGCUUACCAAGGCAACGAUGCGUAGCCGACCUGAGAGGGUGAUCGGCCACACUGGAACUGAGACACGGUCCAGACUCCUACGGGAGGCAGCAGUAGGGAAUCGUCCGCAAUGGGCGAAAGCCUGACGGAGCAACGCCGCGUGAGUGAUGAAGGUCUUCGGAUCGUAAAACUCUGUUAUUAGGGAAGAACAAAUGUGUAAGUAACUAUGCACGUCUUGACGGUACCUAAUCAGAAAGCCACGGCUAACUACGUG
rnacentral:rRNA from 1 species